rnacentral:rRNA from 1 species
CCCCUAGAUGUUCUGGGCCGCACGCGCGCUACACUGAACAGUUCAACAAGUCUUAACCUUGGCCGAUAGGUCUGGGUAAUCUUUGAACGCUGUUCGUGAUUGGGAUAGACCUUUGCAAUUAUGGGUCUUCAACGAGGAAUUCCUAGUAAACGCAAGUCAUCAGCUUGCAUUGAUUACGUCCCUGCCCUUUGUACACACCGCCCGUCGCACCUACCGAUUGAAUGGUCCGGUGAAAUCUCGGGACGGCGGCUUGGUCGCUUGCGUCCGACUGCUGAAACUUGAUUAAACCAUAUCAUUCAGAGGAAGGUGAAGUCGUANCA